rnacentral:lncRNA from 1 species
AGUUUGUAGCUUGCGAGAGGUGUUCGAUGUUUAGCCCUAGGCUGAAUCUAUGAAGGGCGAAUUUUGUACUGCAUCCAUACACCGUAGAUUGUGUUGAUGAAGUAUAGGUGUGAAAUAUUUGUUCACACACAAAAAGAUCAAAGUGUAAGGAUGGGGAAUGAGUACUUUUUUCAUGAUGCUACAGAAGUCGUUUAUAGAAAGAUCGUGCAUCGAUCCGUAAAGGAGUUUAACUAGAGUGCCGUCAUCGCAAGAGUGUGUGCUUGUUUGAACAAUUGAAACUUAAGGCGUGUUUGUGGAUGGCUUCGUAG